GGAGGAAAGAAAGCGCACGGGCCAAUACCCUGUGUGGAUGACGGUACCGUAAGAAGAAGCACCGGCUAACUACGUGCCAGCAGCCGCGGUAAUACGUAGGGUGCGAGCGUUAAUCGGAAUUACUGGGCGUAAAGCGUGCGCAGGCGGUUUGCUAAGACAGGUGUGAAAUCCCCGGGCUUAACCUGGGAACUGCGCUUGUGACUGGCAGGCUAGAGUACGGCAGAGGGGGGUGGAAUUCCACGUGUAGCAGUGAAAUGCGUAGAGAUGUGGAGGAACACCGAUGGCGAAGGCAGCCCCCUGGGCCUGUACUGACGCUCAUGCACGAAAGCGUGGGGAGCAAACAGGAUUAGAUACCCUGGUAGUCCACGCCCUAAACGAUGUCGACUAGUUGUUCGUGGAGGUAACUCCGUGAGUAACGCAGCUAACGCGUGAAGUCGACCGCCUGGGGAGUACGGCCGCAAGGUUAAAACUCAAG
rnacentral:rRNA from 1 species